CAAGCUUUUCCAGAAUCCUUAUUCUUCAGAUGCUUAUCGUCGUGCAAUUAAGGAAGCUGAACAGUUUAUGUGGGCUGAUCAUGAAAUGGAUCCAGUGAGAGAUUUGGUGAAGAGGUUAAUUGAUGCUCAGAGUUGGGCUCAAAAUGUCAGGGACUCUCUCUCGAAAGUAAAAUCUUGGAUGUCUGAUCACAAUAGUGUAGUGAAGGUGCAGAUGGAAGUUGUUGACAAUUUGCUCAGUCUAAACCCCGUACCCUGUAAUGAACCUGCACUUGUCAGAUUGAAGGAUUUCCAGAAAGAAGCGAGCGAGCUGACUCUGGAGAUCGAUUCUGUUCUUUCAUCAUGCUCAAAUAUUCUUGUGUCCGAUUUGGAAACCUUGUAUUCCAAGACAGUGGAUUGCCCCAUCUACAUCAAAGGAAGUGAGGAAUUGUUGUGCAAACUGUCUUCAGCUAAGGCUUGGGCUGAAAGAGUAAGGAAAUGUGUGUCUGAGACUUCUGCUAGAGUUGAGGCAGAUAUUCUCUACAAGCUAGAGAAGGAGAAUUUAAGCCUUCAAGUGCAACUUCCUGAAGGUGAAAUGCUCCUAGACUUAAUUAGACAAGUUGAAUGUUGUCAAUCCCAAUGCUGUGAUAUGUUGAAAUGUUCUCUCAGUGUCAAGGAACUUGAAUCGCUUCUCAACAAAUGGGAUGGUUUUG
rnacentral:misc_RNA from 1 species